UAGGGAAUCUUCGGCAAUGGACGAAAGUCUGACCGAGCAACGCCGCGUGAGUGAAGAAGGUUUUCAGAUCGUAAAACUCUGUUGGUAGAGAAGAACAAGGACGUUAGUAACUGAACGUCCCCUGACGGUAUCUAACCAGAAAGCCACGGCUAACUACGUGCCAGCAGCCGCGGUAAUACGUAGGUGGCAAGCGUUGUCCGGAUUUAUUGGGCGUAAAGCGAGCGCAGGCGGUUUCUUAAGUCUGAUGUGAAAGCCCCCGGCUCAACCGGGGAGGGUCAUUGGAAACUGGGAGACUUGAGUGCAGAAGAGGAGAGUGGAAUUCCAUGUGUAGCGGUGAAAUGCGUAGAUAUAUGGAGGAACACCAGUGGCGAAGGCGGCUCUCUGGUCUGUAACUGACGCUGAGGCUCGAAAGCGUGGGGAGCAAACAGG
rnacentral:rRNA from 1 species